CGCGUCGGCGAGGAGUCGAACAAAGAAAUGAGCUAGCCCUUCUAUUUAUCCCUGAAAAAAUAUAUAUUUACCACAUAAUUACGAAAUUUUGACCUCCGCGAGUCACUGAAUGUUUUGGCAAGCAAGAGGGGUGUGUCACUGCUUCAAGGGAGCGUAUACCAAGAAAACCAGUUUGCGCCUAUCCUCAUUUCUUUUUCGUACCGUAUGUUUGUAAUUUCAGCGGAAGAUAUCUAUGUUGCAUAAACGUGUGUAAAAGAUUUUAAAAUAAUUUAUUUGGUAAUAAUAUGUUGAAGAAUGGUUUAUACUUGUGUUCCUGAUUUAGAAAAAUUAAUCUCAAUACUGAAAAUGUCCACUUCUUUCCGUCUCCGAAUCGAAUUUGAUGUGCAAAAAAGUGGUUAUAUGCCGUUUAUUAGCAGAAUUUCAGCCCAUCAAAACAUUCUAAUGUAUGUACGAUCAUUUUUUUUUAACUAUAUGAUUUUCUUAAUUGAAAAAGAUAUUCUUAUUAGUGCAUUUGAAAGUAUGUAUUUCUUGGUUUUCCAAAAAAAUAGGCCUUAUUGUUCCACGUUUAAUUUUUAUUAAACUUCUAUAAUGUUAUUUUGAAUUCAAUAAAAUCUGUAAUUAAUAAUGCAGACGGAAGAAUUAACAAAUAGUACAGCAAUUUGUCAUUAAUUCGAAAGCAUUUUAUUAAAUCUGUAAUGAAAUGUAUUGGGAUAUUAAUUAAAACAUUUUUAAGUAAAUAAUAGGUAAGCGAGAACUUAUAAACCUUUAUAUAAUAUCAGGAUAAUAAGUAUACAUAUUAGAAUUCAGCUAGCUAGAAUUUUUCUGGUUCCUAAAUUUAUUUCUGAAUGGAAACCUUAUUGCAUUGCAAGCAAACCUUCAUUUUGCAUUGACACUACUUGUAAGAUUUUUCUUAUAAAUCUGCAGUGGUAGUCGACGUUGAAAACUUUUUUUUUUUUUAAGUUUGUGAAAAACAUUUUAUCAAAUCAGACGCUGAACCGAGUAAUCGAACAUUUUGAUGAGAAAGGAGGAACUUCUAUAAAAUUUAAUUUGGUUAGGUCAAGGCUUCGAAAGGAUGCUGUACCCUCACACUGCCCUGGCUGCCCAAAUUGCGUAUAGUAGAGUUUCAUAGAAACAACUGAUUGAGCUCACACUUGCUGCAAGUCUAAUCAGCAAUGAAAUUUUGACAAGAAAAUAUGUUUUUACAUGUUUUCCUUUUCAUGCAUAAAAUCUGAAAAUGUUCCUGAUGUUUGAGCAGUUAUUUUCAGAGAAGAUGAAAUUCUUUUUCUUAUUAUUGAUAUGUCCGUGGUCCAAUGCUAUAUUAUUGCUUAUUGACAUUCUGACGGAACUCACUUAUGCUUCCAACAUUCGAAAAGUGAUUCAACGACAAUAGGGAUAGGACUCUUCAGUCCGGGAGCCCUUCGAAAGGAACCAAAGGUUCACGGAUGAUACCAAUCAUUGAAGUGUCAGUAGUGGUGACAGAAAUUUUAAUGUCUAAUAUUUUUAUUGGUUAUGAGGAAAAUUAUUGAAUGUUGUAUAGUUAUUAAAUCCACCACAGAUACCAACAUUGACUAUUGGAGGUACUGGAUUCGCCAGGAUGCGCAAGUGGAUGACCAGUCGCCAAUGACAGAGGUUUUAAAUAAAAGAAGAGAAAAGAGAUAAUGGCAGAAGGAGUGGAAAUGGCUGGAGAGGGCCAUGGAAGGGAUCUCAAUCACCGGGGAGAAGGGAGCGAGAAAAAAACAGAUAAAGCUGGGACCUCUGGAGUGACCUCCAAACUGGUGAAGAGCUUUUCAAGCAGUGAAGAUUCUCAUAAGAGAGAAUGCAUUGCUGAUGACAACUCGGAAAGGGCCCUAAAGAAAUGACGGCUUUAUAGUCAAGCUGUGAGGAAGGCAAUUACUCUGUGGGUCGUUUGCAAGGAUGACUCCAGAGACAUAAUGUCGUCGGAUUCGGAUUUCAUCACUUCUGUGAUUGAUGACCAAAUUAUCUACGGCUCCAUUACUACCUGUAGGGUCCACAAGACAGUCUGGUGCUGGGAGUGGAACAUGAGCUCAUGGAUUACCUGGAGGUCCAGAAUUUCAAACUUUUUUGUGGUGCCCGUUUCUCUGUACAGCUGAAGGAACCAAGACCACAGGGAAAAUCAAUUCUUCUGCCCAAGGAUCCUCUGAGGAAACAGUUGAUGGAAGGAGCGGAGACCGAAAAGGAGUCAGAACCAGAGCCUUCUUUGGAGGCUCUGGGGAAGAUCUCUGAGUAGGUUUCCUCUGUCACGACUUCAAGAAUAACACCAGAAUCUGAAACCGGAAAUCUUUACAUGAGGCGAAAUCGGCAAACCUCGAUGCUGUCUUGUACGAGUAGUUCCAGCAGUGGCGGAGUGAUGGGGUACCUAUUUCAGGAUUACUCCUGAGAGAAAAGGAGAAGCAAAUUCAUGCUGAUUUAAAAAUAGAGGAGACUAAUGCUAGUCUUCCUGGAGCUAAAUGUGGGAUUAUCCUCAAGGCUGAUGCUAAACUUUCUGCCACUAGGUACAGCAGCUACCUUUUCUGAAUUUUGCUGUGCUUUAUGGUCACACCAAUUACAUUGAUGCUAAUGCUGUACUUGCAUUCAGACAUAUGAAUUGGAAUUAUGUUUGAUGUUUCAUAGACUGAAGAAUGGUGACUCAUCAAACACAGGAAAAAACUCAAAUUCCAGCUUGCUACAGCAGAGCACACCUCAAAAGAACAUCCAUGCAUCUGUAACUCUAGUAACUACCAACUGAAGCUUCAAGUGAAUGCUAAGAAAACUAACUAAUUGCAUUUGCAUGCUGCUCAGCUCAGUGAAUAAAAACACAAUUUAUAUAAUAUAAAA